GGACUGUCUUAUUUUUCAUCGCACGAUCAGAACUCUGGAAGAAACCUGCAAUGCAGAAGUUAUGAGUCCAUGGAAGUAAUGAAUUUUCUGGGAAGAUAAAUGGAAGCCCUCAAACCUGAAAAUAGCCAGAAACUGCUUGAUUUUGAAAGUCUUGUGAGAAGACAUGGCGAAGAACUGAGUGCCUACAUAUACCAUGAUGGCGGAGAAAGGUAGAGAGG